GUGAACACUUGUACAAUGGAUCUUCAUUCAGUUAUUCUGUUCUGUGUCUCAGCUGCUGCUGUCUUUGGAAAUGUCAUCAAACCAGAACAACUAGAUGUUUUUGCUGAGGAGGGUUCAAGUGUUAUCCUGUACUUUUUCUGACUCUGGAGUUACAGAUCAUCUCCACUGGUACCGUCAGUAUGGAAGAUCACAACCAGAAUUUCUUGCACUCUCCUACAGCAAUGCAAAAGUUGCUCAGUGGUCUGAUGUAGAUCCAAGAUUCUCUGUUAACAUUCCAAAAAGGGAACAUGUGGAUCUGGAGAUCUCCUCUGCUGCUGUAUCAGACUCUGCUCUGUACUACUGUGCUCUGAGGCUCACAGUGACAGGAAACACAUCAGCUCUCUACAAAAACCUGUUACAGUAA